UUAGGGAAAUUUUGAGGUGUUGUAUGGUGGAUUGAAUGUAUUUUAGGUUAGUUUUAAGGGUUUUAAGUGGUCUGUGUGUGUGUGGGUGUGAUUUUGGUAUUUGUUGGGUCUUUUAAGUGGUCUAUGCAUGUGUGUGGAGUGUCUUGGGAGUGUGUGGGUAUGAUUUUGGUGUGUGCUGAGUGUUUUAAGUUGUCUGUGCGUGUAUGUGGAGUGUGUGGGUAUGAUUUUUGGUGUUUGCUGGAUGUUUUAAGUGGUCUGUGCGUGUGUGUGGAGUGUCUUGAGAGUGUGUGGGUAUGAUUUUGGUGUGUGGUGGAUGUUUUGAAUGGUCUGUGCGUGUGUGUGGAGUGUCUUGGGAUGAUUUUGGUGUGUGCUUGGUGUUUUAAGUGGUCUGUGCAUGUGUGGGGAUGAUUUUUGGUGUGUGCUGGGUGUUUUUAGUUGAGUUAUGGGUUUAUUUAUUAAUAUUUUGAAGUGUUGCAUAGUGUUUUGAGUGUGUUUUGGAUUAAUGUCCUCACUUUUGUUACUCUUGUAUAAUUUCAUAGUAUGAUGGACGCAGCUGAGGUGGGCCUCCGCUGUGGCCAGGCAGUUCAGCCUUGCCGUCAACCUUCCAUGUGAUGAGUGAAUUGCCGGUUGAGCUGGAGUGUCCUGGUAUUGGGGGCUCGUCUGGUAUUGCAGACAACCAUAUGUGUAACCUUUUCGUGAAGAGGUCCAGUGUGACCCCUGGUAGAUUUGUGAUGGUGUCCGGCACAGCGUUGAAGAGGCCAUGAGGGAGGCGGUGGAGGUGUGGGGGGUCCAGCACGCCAUCACAGACAACCUGCAGUUCAUGCUUGGUAUGGGACACACUGGGACAGCCUCGGAUUGUUGGUGGGAGCAAGACAAGGCUGUGGCAAUUUUGCCACUCAGACCUGUUGCCAUGUUAUUAUUAUUGCACAUCCUAAGAAGAACUCGUGGAGACCACACCACAGCUGCAUAUUCCAGCC